CAGAAAAAAAACAUCGAGCACAUCAGCCAGUGAAACUCACUGCGUCCUUUGAAGUCUAUGGAAUGCUUGCAUUGGUGUCUACACUUCCCGCUUUCCAGUUUGCAUGAAAGAGGCAGGUGCAUUCUGGAACCGUGACCCCGAUCCCGAUAAAGAACACUUCCGGGCUGCCAAGAGGCCUCGGCUUCCUCCCACCAGUCGUUAACUCCCACCUCAAGGCCCAGAAUGCGGCUAGGCCCGGGCGCCCCCUCCCCUGCUGUGUGCACCCCGGAGACGCCAACCUUGCAGCUGACAAGAAUAUCCCAGGAUCGCGGUU